rnacentral:rRNA from 1 species
GACGAACGCUGGCGGCGUGCUUAACACAUGCAAGUCGAACGAGAGCGUAGAGAAAGCUUGCUUUUUCUACAAUCUAGUGGCAAACGGGUGAGUAACGCGUAAACAACCUGCCCUACGGAUGGGGACAACGGCUGGAAACGGCUGCUAAUACCGAAUACGUUCCGAAAGUCGCAUGACUAUCGGAAGAAAGGAUGGCCUCUAUUUAUAAGCUAUCGCCGGAGGAGGGGUUUGCGUCUGAUUAGCUAGUUGGAGGGGUAACGGCCCACCAAGGCGACGAUCAGUAGCCGGUCUGAGAGGAUGAACGGCCACAUUGGAACUGAGACACGGUCCAGACUCCUACGGGAGGCAGCAGUGGGGAAUCUUCCGCAAUGGGCGAAAGCCUGACGGAGCAACGCCGCGUGAGUGAAGACGGCCUUCGGGUUGUAAAGCUCUGUUAUACGGGACGAAUAAUCUUGUGGUUAAUACCCAUGAGAAGUGACGGUACCGUAAGAGAAAGCCACGGCUAACUACGUG